GAAGUGCUAGUCUAAGGUCGUAGGAGGUUAUACAGGCAAAUCCGUAUAACAAUACUCCGAGAACUGAAAGGCUUUUUGAAGUCUUCGGAUGGAUAGAAGAACCCCUGAUGCCGUCGAGCCAAGAAAAGUUUCUAAGUUUAGCUAAUGUUGCCCGUACCGUAAACCGACACAGGUGGGUGGGAUGAGUAUUCUAAGGCGCGUGGAAGAACUCUCUUUAAGGAACUCUGCAAAAUAGCACCGUAUCUUCGGUAUAAGGUGUGGUUCGCUUCGUAUUAGGAUUUACUCCGAAAGCGAAGAAACUUACAACAAAGAGUCCCUCCCGACUGUUUACCAAAAACACAGCACUCUGCUAACUCGUAAGAGGAUGUAUAGGGUGUGACGCCUGCCCGGUGCUCGAAGGUUAAUUGAUGGGGUUAGCAUUAGCGAAGCUCUUGAUCGAAGCCCGAGUAAACGGCGGCCGUAACUAUAACGGUCCUAAGGUAGCGAAAUUCCUUGUCGGUUAAAUACCGACCUGCAUGAAUGGCGUAACGAGAUGGGAGCUGUCUCAAAGAGGGAUCCAGUGAAAUUGUAGUGGAGGUGAAAAUUCCUCCUACCCGCGGCAAGACGGAAAGACCCCGUGGACCUUUACUACAGCUUGACACUGCUAUUUGGAUAAGAAUGUGCAGGAUAGGUGGGAGGCUUUGAGUAUAUGACGCCAGUUGUAUAUGAGCCAUUGUUGAGAUACCACUCUUUCUUAUUUGGGUAGCUAACCAGCUUGAGUUAUCCUCAAGUGGGACAAUGUCUGGUGGGUAGUUUGACUGGGGCGGUCGCCUCCCAAAUAAUAACGGAGGCUUACAAAGGUUGGCUCAGAACGGUUGGAAAUCGUUCGUAGAGUAUAAAGGUAUAAGCCAGCUUAACUGCAAGACAUACAAGUCAAGCAGAGACGAAAGUCGGUCUUAGUGAUCCGGUGGUUCUGUGUGGAAGGGCCAUCGCUCAAAGGAUAAAAGGUACCCCGGGGAUAACAGGCUGAUCUCCCCCAAGAGCUCACAUCGACGGGGAGGUUUGGCACCUCGAUGUCGGCUCAUCGCAUCCUGGGGCUGGAGCAGGUCCCAAGGGUAUGGCUGUUCGCCAUUUAAAGCGGUACGCGAGCUGGGUUCAGAACGUCGUGAGACAGUUCGGUCCCUAUCUGCCGUGGGCGUAAGAAGAUUGAAGAGAUUUGACCCUAGUACGAGAGGACCGGGUUGAACAAACCACUGGUGUAGCUGUUGUUCUGCCAAGAGCAUCGCAGCGUAGCUAAGUUUGGAAAGGAUAAACGCUGAAAGCAUCUAAGCGUGAAGCCAACUCUAAGAUGAAUCUUCUCUAAGCUCUCUAGAAGACUACUAGUUUGAUAGGCUGGGUGUGUAAUGGAUGAAAGUCCUUUAGCUGACCAGUACUAAUAGAGCGUUUGGCUUAUCUUU
rnacentral:rRNA from 1 species